rnacentral:rRNA from 1 species
UUACCCGACCUCCCACCCGUAAAGGCAGAGGCGCAGCGUAGAACCACCUGAGGCCGGUCGCUCCCCUUCUCUUCGUCGGCGGCAGGUCAGCUAGAGCCCUAGAGAGCAGCGGCCGCGCGCAUCCCUCCCCUCGACUCCUCCCCACCAACGCUCCUUAUCACCACCACCACUAUCCUCCUCCUACUCGCUCUCGCUCGUCUCCGGCCACGGCUCCUCCCUCUCGGGCACCCCGAACGGCCUCCCCCUGUUCGCCGUCGGGUUCCGCGUGGCGACGUUGCUGGCGCAGCUCCUACAGCAGGUCCGACGGAAACUUCCCUUAGGCAAGUUCUGUCAAGGUCCAGGUAAGUUCCAGAAAACCGUUACGUACGCGAGUUUUGGACCCCUCCUCGGUUGACAUGGUAAAUGAAUGGACGUCGACCUAGGAGGCUUCUCCCAUCUCCGGUUCGAUCUAAUUUGUCGUGGAAUUAGGCAGAGUUCGCACACACCAAUAUAAAACAUCACUGGGAGAAUAGAUCCGCAGUACAACUUGUGCUCCGGAACACAAACCUAUAUAAAAAGUACUUAUUAUUAUCACAUUUUGGGAUAGGUCUUUAUUCUUUGCGGAAAUGUCCUCCACUUAACCAGCUUCAACGACAAGACCUUACCCUAAACAUUAAAGCAGACUGAACAAAACGCGGAACCCUCAAUUGAGGAAUAACUUACCGAAGAUUCCAAACAAC